rnacentral:rRNA from 1 species
CAUGCAAGUCGAACGCGCUUUACUCCUUCGGGAGUGAAGUGAGUGGCGAACGGGUGAGUAACACGUGAGCAACCUACCCUUGACUCUGGAAUAACAGCUGGAAACAGCUGCUAAUACCGGAUACGACCUUCGAUGGCAUCAUCUGGAGGUGGAAAGCCCCGACGGUCAAGGAUGGGCUCGCGGCCUAUCAGCUUGUUGGUGAGGUAACGGCUCACCAAGGCUUCGACGGGUAGCCGGCCUGAGAGGGCGACCGGCCACACUGGGACUGAGAUACGGCCCAGACUCCUACGGGAGGCAGCAGUGGGGAAUAUUGCACAAUGGGCGCAAGCCUGAUGCAGCAACGCCGCGUGCGGGAUGACGGCCUUCGGGUUGUAAACCGCUUUCAGUAGGGACGAAGGUAACCUGACGGUACCUACAGAAGAAGGACCGGCCAACUACGUGCCAGCAGCCGCGGUGAUACGUAGGGUCCGAGCGUUGUCCGGAAUUAUUGGGCGUAAAGGGCUUGUAGGCGGUCUGUCGCGUCGGAAGUGAAAACUCAGGGCUUAACCCUGAGCCUGCUUCCGAUACGGGCAGACUAGAGGGAUGCAGGGGAGAACGGAAUUCCUGGUGGAGCGGUGGAAUGCGCAGAUAUCAGGAGGAACACCGGUGGCGAAGGCGGUUCUCUGGGCAUUUCCUGACGCUGAGAAGCGAAAGCGUGGGGAGCAAACAGGAUUAGAUACCCUGGUAGUCCACGCCGUAAACGUUGGGCGCUAGGUGUGGGGGCCAUUCCACGGUUUCUGUGCCGCAGCUAACGCAUU